AUCCAGCCAUGUCUUGGUCUUACUUAACCUUUGUAAAUAGUUUCUGUGUAAAUAAAUGUUUUUGAAUGAAAAACCAUUACCUCCAACAAGAUCUCUUCUAAAGUAAGAAGCCAACAAAUCCCGAGACAAACCACAACAACGGAUGGUGGCAGCCACAAAGAAACAGUAAAAAACAACAGGAAAAGCCACAAGAGAGACCCAGUAACAAGGCAGAGCAGCGGGUGAAGGACUUUGAGGCCAACCCAGCAACCACACCGGAAACAACUGAAACACAAGGGCAGCCCAGCGACUGGCAAGACAAGCUGCGUGGGAAAAGACAAUCUCAAACCAGGCUCCAGCAACUGAUUUAGCUCAUCAUUGGACUUGGACUCAGCAGAAUUGUGGCCCCCAGAGCUGGCGAUCUCUGAUGUCCCUGUCUCUGCCUGCUGUGGACCAGUUUGUGUGCUUGAACCUCAUGUUAUACUUGGAGACCUGCCUUUGUGUACACUCCAGUCACCUCAUGGCAUGCGGGAAGCAGUCAGC